rnacentral:lncRNA from 1 species
UCCUGCUUUCCUUUUUGGGACUGCGUCGUGAGCCGCUUGAUGGCUAUUCUUCUUCCGUCUGGCAAAGUGCCCUGCAUUUCUUCGAGGUAAACGAAUUUGGAACUCUACAUAGUUUUUGCUUACCUUGUAGACGACUCCGAAUCCUCCCUGGCCUAGUUUGUUGUCAUCGCUAAAGCUGUUUGUGGCUGUUUUCAGUGCAUGAUACGAGAAGAUGGUUGCUCCGUGGUGAAUGUUGGCUUGCAAGUCGAGAUCUGCCAUGUAGAGGUAAAAAAGAAGGAUCUGUUUCAGAAAACACACUAUACCUUCUUUAAGCUUCUUUCUUGCAGCAGGAGUCAACCGAUGCCUGUUCUUGACACAGCAAAAUGCAAAGAUCCCCAGCAGCAACGCACCUCCAAUAAUCCCAAACACCAACUUGAGAAUUCG